AGUGAACGCUGGCGGUAGGCCUAACACAUGCAAGUCGAACGGCAGCACAGUAAGAGCUUGCUCUUACGGGUGGCGAGUGGCGGACGGGUGAGGAAUACAUCGGAAUCUACUUUUUCGUGGGGGAUAACGUAGGGAAACUUACGCUAAUACCGCAUACGACCUACGGGUGAAAGCAGGGGAUCUUCGGACCUUGCGCGAUUGAAUGAGCCGAUGUCGGAUUAGCUAGUUGGCGGGGUAAGGGCCCACCAAGGCGACGAUCCGUAGCUGGUCUGAGAGGAUGAUCAGCCACACUGGAACUGAGACACGGUCCAGACUCCUACGGGAGGCAGCAGUGGGGAAUGUUGGACAAUGGGCGCAAGCCUGAUCCAGCCAUACCGCGUGGGUGAAGAAGGCCUUCGGGUUGUAAAGCCCUUUUGUUGGGAAAGAAAAGCAGCAGGUUAAUACCCCGCUGUUCUGACGGUACCCAAAGAAUAAGCACCGGCUAACUUCGUG
rnacentral:rRNA from 1 species